AGUGAACGCUGGCGGUAGGCCUAACACAUGCAAGUCGAACGGCAGCACAGUAAGAGCUUGCUCUUACGGGUGGCGAGUGGCGGACGGGUGAGGAAUACAUCGGAAUCUACUUUUUCGUGGGGGAUAACGUAGGGAAACUUACGCUAAUACCGCAUACGACCUACGGGUGAAAGCAGGGGAUCUUCGGACCUUGCGCGAUUGAAUGAGCCGAUGUCGGAUUAGCUAGUUGGCGGGGUAAAGGCCCACCAAGGCGACGAUCCGUAGCUGGUCUGGGAGAAUGAUCGGCCACACUGGAAGUGAGACACGGUCCAGACUCCUACGGGAGGCAGCAGUGGGGAAUAUUGGACAAUGGGCGCAAGCCUGAUCCAGCCAUACCGCGUGGGUGAAGGAGGCCUUCGGGUUGUAAAGCCCUUUUGUUGGGAAAGAAAAGCAGCAGGUUAAUACCCCGCUGUUCUGACGGUACCCAAAGAAUAAGCACCGGCUAACUUCGUG
rnacentral:rRNA from 1 species